UAGGGAAUUUUCCGCAAUGGGCGAAAGCCUGACGGAGCAAUGCCGCGUGGAGGUGGAAGGCCUACGGGUCGUCAACUUCUUUUCUCGGAGAAGAAACAAUGACGGUAUCUGAGGAAUAAGCAUCGGCUAACUCUGCGCCAG
rnacentral:rRNA from 1 species